rnacentral:lncRNA from 1 species
AAAUUGAAAUUUUAAAAAUUUAUACUCCCUCCGUCCCAAUAAUCUUGUCCCACUUUCCUUUUUGGUUUGUCCCAAUAUUCAUGUCUCAUUUCCUUUUUUAGAAAAAAUUAGGGGUCUCAUUGCUGAAAUAGAAAUUUUAUUGAAGAAAAACAAAACCCUUGAGAGCACAGGCGCAAACAAGGAAAGUUCGAAAAAACCCAAACCAAAAAAACAAAAAACAAAAAAGACAAAAAACCCAAACGAAAAAAGAAAGAAAAAAACAGGAACGAACAAGAGACGGGACCGCAAAGGGUCACAACCGAGGCCAAGCAAAGUCCACGCCAGAGCCGUCCCGGGUAGAGCACGACACAAGAACGCGCGCCAGAGAAAACAAGCGCCAAAGGAAUCAAGCGCCAGAGGGAACAAGCGCCAGAGGAAUCAAGCGCCAGAGGGAUCAAGCGCCAGAG